GAUGAACGCUGGCGGCGUGCCUAAUACAUGCAAGUCGAACGAGGUGCUUUUGUAGCAAUACGAGAGUAUCCUAGUGGCGAACGGGUGAGUAACGCGUUGGUGACCUACCCCAAAGUGUGGGAUAACAGUCCGAAAGGAUUGCUAAUACCGCAUGUGGUCAUUGGAUUUAGACACUGAUGACUAAAGGAGCAAUUCGCAUGGGAAGGGACCUGCGUCCCAUCAGUUCGCUGGUGAGGUAAUGGCUCACCAAGGCGACGACGGGUAGGGGACCUGAGAGGGGGACCCCCCAAAAUGGAACUGAAACACGGUCCAUACACCUACGGGUGGCAGCAGUAGGGAAUAUUGCUCAAUGGGCGAAUGCCUGAAGCAGCAACGCCGCGUGUGUGAUGAAGGCCUUCGGGUCGUAAAGCACUUUUCUGGGAGAUGAGAAAGGACAGUAUCCCAGGAAUAAGUCUCGGCUAACUACGUGCCAGCCGCCGCUGUAACAC
rnacentral:rRNA from 1 species